GGGGCUGGGGCUCAGGGGUAGAGUGCUCGGCUGGCACAUGAGAGGCACUGGGUUCGAAUCUCAGCACCA
rnacentral:tRNA from 1 species